rnacentral:rRNA from 1 species
GUAGGUGGCAAGCGUUGUCCGGAAUUAUUGGGCGUAAAGCGCGCGCAGGCGGUCCUUUAAGACUGAUGUGAAAGCCCACGGCUCAACCGUGGAGGGUCAUUGGAAACUGGGGGACUUGAGUACAGAAGAGGAAAGCGGAAUUCCAAGUGUAGCGGUGAAAUGCGUAGAGAUUUGGAGGAACACCAGUGGCGAAGGCGGCUUUCUGGUCUGUAACUGACGCUGAGGCGCGAAAGCGUGGGGAGCAAACAGGGAUUAGAUACCCUGGUAGUCCACGCCGUAAACGAUGAGUGCUAAGUGUUAGGGGGUUUCCCGCCCCUUAGUGCUGCAGCUAACGCAUUAAGCACUCCGCCUGGGGAGUACGGCCGCAAGGCUG